GAGUGUACUCCUACGGGAGGCAGCAGUGGGGAAUAUUGCGCAAUGGGGGCAACCCUGACGCAGCCAUGCCGCGUGAAUGAAGAAGGCCUUCGGGUUGUAAAGUUCUUUCGGUAGCGAGGAAGGCAUUUAGUUUAAUAGACUGAGUUAUUGACGUUAACUACAGAAGAAGCACCGGCUAACUCCGUGCCAGCAGCCGCGGUAAUACGGAGGGUGCGAGCGUUAAUCGGAAUAACUGGGCGUAAAGGGCACGCAGGCGGUGACUUAAGUGAGGUGUGAAAGCCCCGGGCUUAACCUGGGAAUUGCUUUUCAUACUGUGUCGCUAGAGUACGUUAGGGAGGGGUAGAAUUCCACGUGUAGCGGUGAAAUGCGUAGAGAUGUGGAGGAAUACCGGGGGCGAAGGCAGCCCCUUGGGAAUGUACUGACGCUCAUGUGCGAAAGCGUGGGGAGCAAACAGGAUUAGAUACCCCUGUAGUCCGA
rnacentral:rRNA from 1 species